CGCGUAGGCGGUUAGACAAGUGAGAAGUGAAAUCCCUGGGCUUAACCUAGGAAUUGCUUAUUAGACUGACUAGCUGGAGAGUAGUAGAGGGUGGUGGAAUUUCCGGUGUAGCGGUGAAAUGCGUAGAGAUCGGAAGGAACAUCAGUGGCGAAGGCGACCACCUGGACUACAACUGACGCUGAGGCGCGAGAGCGUGGGUAGCAAACAGGAUUAGAUACCCUGGUAGUCCACGCUGUAAACGAUGAGAACUAGAUGUUGGUCUGCGCGAGCGGAUGAGUAUCGAAGCUAACGCGAUAAGUUCUCCGCCUGGGGAGUACGGCCGCAAGGUUAAA
rnacentral:rRNA from 1 species